GACGAACGCUGGCGGCGUGCUUAACACAUGCAAGUCGAGCGGUAAGGCCCUUUCGGGGGUACACGAGCGGCGAACGGGUGAGUAACACGUGGGUGACCUGCCCUCAGCUCUGGGAUAAGCCCGGGAAACUGGGUCUAAUACUGGAUAUGACUCCAUGACGCAUGUUGUGGGGUGGAAAGCCUUGUGCGGCUGAGGAUGGGCCCGCGGCCUAUCAGCUUGUUGGGGGGUGAUGGCCUACCAAGGCGACGACGGGUAGCCGGCCUGAGAGGGCGACCGGCCACACUGGGACUGAGACACGGCCCAGACUCCUACGGGAGGCAGCAGUGGGGAAUCUUGCGCAAUGGGCGAAAGCCUGACGCAGCGACGCCGCGUGA
rnacentral:rRNA from 1 species